CCUACGGGCGGCAGCAGUGAGGAAUAUUGGUCAAUGGGCGCGAGCCUGAACCAGCCAAGUAGCGUGAAGGAUGACUGCCCUAUGGGUUGUAAACUUCUUUUAUAAAGGAAUAAAGUGAGGCACGUGUGCCUUUUUUUAUGUACUUUAUGAAUAAGGAUCCGCUAACUCCGUGCCAGGAGCCGCGGUGAUACGGAGGAUUCGAGCGUUAUCCGGAUUUUUUUGGUUUAAAGGGAGCGUAGAUGGGUUGUUAAGUCAAUUGUGAAAGUUUGCGGCUCAAACGUAAAAUUGCAAUUGAUACUGGCAGCCUUGAGUGCAGUAGAGGUAGGCGGAAUUCGUGGUGUAGCGGUGAAAUGCUUAGAUAUCACGAAGAACUCCGAUUGCGAAGGCAGCCUACUGAACUGCCACUGACAUUGAUGCACGAAAGUGUGGGUAUCAAACAGGAUUAGAUACCCCAGUAGUC
rnacentral:rRNA from 1 species